GGUUCUGUGGCACAAUGGAUUGUGCUUUCUGUGUGAGGUGUGAUCCAAAGGUUGUGGGUUCGAGUCCCACCAGAGUUG